rnacentral:tRNA from 1 species
AUUUAUGUAGUAUAAAAUAUUACAUUUAACUUCCAAUUAAAAAAUUUAAAACUAACAUAAGUA